AUUGAACGCUGGCGGCAGGCCUAACACAUGCAAGUCGAGCGGAUGAAGGGAGCUUGCUCCUGGAUUCAGCGGCGGACGGGUGAGUAAUGCCUAGGAAUCUGCCUGGUAGUGGGGGAUAACGUCCGGAAACGGGCGCUAAUACCGCAUACGUCCUGAGGGAGAAAGUGGGGGAUCUUCGGACCUCACGCUAUCAGAUGAGCCUAGGUCGGAUUAGCUAGUUGGUGGGGUAAAGGCCUACCAAGGCGACGAUCCGUAACUGGUCUGAGAGGAUGAUCAGUCACACUGGAACUGAGACCCGGUCCAGACUCCUACGGGAGGCAGCAGUGGGGAAUAUUGGACAAUGGGCGAAAUCCUGAUCCAGCCAUGCCGCGUGUGUGAAGAAGGUCUUCGGAUGGUAAAGCACUUUAAGUUGGGAGGAAGGGCAGUAAGUUAAUACCUUGCUGUUUUGACGUUACCAACAGAAUAAGCACCGGCUAACUUCGUG
rnacentral:rRNA from 1 species